GAAGAAAAAAUUGUAAAAUAAUUUUCCAAACAUAUAUUUUUAGUCAUCAAAAGUUAGAAAAAAAAUAUUACAAAAACCAGUUUACAGCAAGUCGGAAUUCGUAUCAAACGUUUUAUUGUGUAAAGAGCGCAAAUUAUUUGUAAAAAAGUUACUGAAACAAAAAUAAGGCGCUAAGAAAAAACUAAACAUUCCGACAUCGAAUUUGAAAUUCGAAAUAAAUCUACUUUUUGUAUUCCCAACAUUUACUCCCUGCUGCUUUUGCUGCACACUGAAUGUCUUUUAUAGUUGCUACGAGUAAGUCUACAGGAAUCAUUACAUGUGGAUUAAAAUGUCUUCACGCAUAGAAACUUCAUCUUUACGAUAGUCACUUGAUGAAAGGGUAUUUUUUACAUUAUUUCUUUAAGGAUAAUGUUUAAAUAAAUAUCAUUUUCGCCAACUACAAUAGUUUCAAUUGAAUUAUAGAAAGAAAUUUUAAAAAUAGAAGCCACGUAACUACUUCGGUAAAAAUUAAUAGGUGCUUAAAUUACAUGUGCACUAACGCUCUACUAACGCAGAAAACAAAAAGUCUUUGAUUAACAAUUUAAGAAAAUAAGUGCUUACAAAUUUUUUUUUACAUUUAAUUGCUUGCUAAAAAGAAAAAAGGAGAGAGAUAAGAUUUUUAAUCAAAAACUUGGUGCUUCAAAAUCGUGCAAAACAACAAUUUGCUGGUAAUCAACGCAAAGCAAACAAUUGUAAAAAAGUUAUUGAUUGCUCUCAUAAUCUGGCGACACAUCGUUAAGCUAUUUGCAGCAAAUGUCUCACUAGCAUAAAUAAGAUUUUGUCUUACAUACGAUAAUAAACUUAAUAAUAACCGCAAUAAUAAUAAGAAACAAACUUAAGACCAACAACAAUGGAACAUUUAGAUUUGGCUGGCAUUUUAACAACACCACCACAAUGGAAUGUGCCUGCGUUCGAACAACAAGCUGGAUUUUGUUGCAAGUCACUACACAGAGUCAGCCGCUGCUUAUGCUGCCUUUACUACAAGCAAUGCGUAUACAGUAUGGCGACAUUAUACGCCAUCAUAACCUAAGCGACAGUGAAAACCUAAAUAAGAAAUAAAUUAAAAAGGGCAUCACCAAGAUCUUUCUUAAAAAUAAAAGGGUAGGGUUCCCAAACGUCGACAGCGCAAAAGCUGGUGUGAUCUUGUACUCAGAAGCAAAGCCACAAACCCUUGUUUUUUAUUAAAUU